rnacentral:rRNA from 1 species
GAUGAACGCUGGCGGCGUGCCUAAUACAUGCAAGUCGAGCGAACGGACGAGAAGCUUGCUUCUCUGAUGUUAGCGGCGGACGGGUGAGUAACACGUGGAUAACCUACCUAUAAGACUGGGAUAACUUCGUGAAACCGUAGCUAAUACCGGAUAAUAUUUUGAACCGCAUGGUUCAAAAGUGAAAGACGGUCUUGCUGUCACUUAUAGAUGUCUCCGCGCUGCAUUAGCUAGUUGGUAAGGUAACGGCUUACCAAGGCCACGAUGCAUAGCCGACCGGAGAGGGUGAUCGGCCACACUGGAACUGGGACACGGUCCAGACUCCUACGGGAGGCAGCAGAAGGGAAUCUUCCGCAAUGGGCGAAAGCCUGACGGAGCAGCGCCGCGUGAGUGAUGAAGGUCUUCGGAUCGUAAAACUCUGUUAUUAGGGAAGAACAUAUGUGUAAGUAACUGUGCACAUCUUGACGGUACCUAAUCAGAGAGCCACGGCUAACUUCGUG